rnacentral:rRNA from 1 species
UACGUAGGGGGCAAGCGUUGUCCGGAAUCAUUGGGCGUAAAGAGCGUGUAGGCGGUUCGGUAAGUCGGCUGUGAAAGUCCAGGGCUCAACCCUGGGAUGCCGGUCGAUACUGCCGGACUAGAGUUCGGAAGAGGCGAGUGGAAUUCCCGGUGUAGCGGUGAAAUGCGUUGAUAUCCACAGGAACUCCGGUGGCGAAGGCGAGGUGCUGGACCCCUCCUGACGCUGAGGCGCGAAAGCCAGGGGAGCGAACGGG